CUCCUGCGGGAGGCAGCAGUGGGGAAUUUUGGACAAUGGGCGAAAGCCUGAUCCAGCAAUGCCGCGUGUGUGAAGAAGGCCUUCGGGUUGUAAAGCACUUUUGUCCGGAAAGAAAUCCUUGGCUCUAAUACAGUCGGGGGAUGACGGUACCGGAAGAAUAAGCACCGGCUAACUACGUGCCAGCAGCCGCGGUAAUACGUAGGGUGCGAGCGUUAAUCGGAAUUACUGGGCGUAAAGCGUGCGCAGGCGGUUUGCUAAGACCGAUGUGAAAUCCCCGGGCUCAACCUGGGAACUGCAUUGGUGACUGGCAGGCUAGAGUAUGGCAGAGGGGGGUAGAAUUCCACGUGUAGCAGUGAAAUGCGUAGAGAUGUGGAGGAAUACCGAUGGCGAAGGCAGCCCCCUGGGCCAAUACUGACGCUCAUACACGAAAGCGUGGGGAGCAAACAGGAUUAGAAACCCGAGUAGUCCCAUGA
rnacentral:rRNA from 1 species